GACGAACGCUGGCGGCGUGCUUAACACAUGCAAGUCGAACGGAAAGGCCCUGCUUGCAGGGUACUCGAGUGGCGAACGGGUGAGUAACACGUGGGUGAUCUGCCCUGCACUUCGGGAUAAGCCUGGGAAACUGGGUCUAAUACCGGAUAGGAGCCAUUUUUAGUGUGAUGGUUGGAAAGUUUUUUCGGUGUAGGAUGAGCUCGCGGCCUAUCAGCUUGUUGGUGGGGUAAUGGCCUACCAAGGCGGCGACGGGUAGCCGGCCUGAGAGGGUGGACGGCCACAUUGGGACUGAGAUACGGCCCAGACUCCUACGGGAGGCAGCAGUGGGGAAUUUUGCACAAUGGGCGCAAGCCUGAUGCAGCGACGCCGCGUGGGGGAUGACGGCCUUCGGGUUGGAAACUCCUUUCGCUAGGGACGAAGCUUUUUGUGACGGUACCUAGAGAAGAAGCACCGGCUAACUACGUG
rnacentral:rRNA from 1 species